rnacentral:rRNA from 1 species
UACGUAGGGGGCAAGCGUUAUCCGGAUUCAUUGGGCGUAAAGAGCGCGUAGGCGGCUUGGCAAGUCAGAUGUGAAAACUGGGGGCUCAACCCGCAGCCUGCAUCUGAAACUGCCAGGCUUGAGUCUGGUAGAGGAAAGUGGAAUUCCCAGUGUAGCGGUGAAAUGCGCAGAUAUUGGGAGGAACACCAGUGGCGAAGGCGGUUCUCUGGGCCUGUACUGACGCUGAGGAACGAAAGCGUGGGGAGCGAACAGG